rnacentral:rRNA from 1 species
UGAGGAAUAUUGCGCAAUGGGCGAAAGCCUGACGCAGCGACGCCGCGUGGGGGAUGAAGGUCUUCGGAUUGUAAACCCCUUUCGGGAGGGAAGAUGGUUGCAUACAAGUGCAACGGACGGUACCUCCAGAAGCAGCCACGGCUAACUUCGUGCCAGCAGCCGCGGUAAUACGAAGGUGGCAAGCGUUGUUCGGAUUUACUGGGCGUACAGGGAGCGUAGGGUGGGUUGGGGUAAGCCCUCCGGGAAAUCUUCAGGCUUAACCUGGAAAGGUCGGAGGGGACUGCCCGGCUAGAGGACGGGAGAGGAGCGCGGAAUUCCCGGUGUAGCGGUGAAAUGCGUAGAGAUCGGGAGGAAGGCCGGUGGCGAAGGCGGCGCUCUGGAACGUUCCUGACACUGAGGCUCGAAAGCGUGGGGAGCAAACAGGAUUAGAUACCCUGGUAGUCCACGCCCUAAACGAUGGACACUAAGUGUCGGCGGGUUACCGCCGGUGCCGCAGCUAACGCAGUAAGUGUCCCGCCUGGGGAGUACGGCCGCAAGGUUGAAACUC